UCACUGUGAUCCUGAUGGGAAAUGGCCUCUUGAAGACACCGCGAUCCAUCACGUUCCCUCGGUCUGUCAGAAAACAAGAAACGUUUUCAUUCCUUUCUCCCGCUACCUGAAGCCCCUUGGCAUGUGCAAAACGUGUUUUUCCUAUCUUCCUCUUCAUCCGAGCCUCCUCCUCCUCCUCCUCGUCCUCCGAGAGCUGUACAUCCACCGUGUUCAUCAUAUUACAUUGCACACCGGAGCUGAUUAUCCGCUUUAAUAACUAGCAAUUACUGCCGCGGUUCUUCUGGUGCUGCCCACGUGGAGGAGAACAGAGGGACAUGAUUACGCUCAUCUGACACACGCACACCAUCACACACGCCGCAAACACGCCGGCGUCACUAAUGCGCGCCGUGCUCGUGGCGCUCACCAGUCUGCAGGGGAUAUUAACACUUAGUCUCCGUAACUGCCAAAUGGCCCCGCCCACAACCACCUGAUUACGUCCAUCAACACGGAUGGUGACAGAGGGAUGAAGAUUCAUUCACGUUGUUUGUUUUGGCCCCGGACUAAAAUGUUGGCCCUACCCCCGAAUGAAACGAUGCAAAGACGGGGACUCGAGUCACUUGAGUCCCCAAACCCAGAGAUACAAGGUAGACGGAAGAGCCCUCUGGAGGUGGUUCAUGAAGCAUCUGCAGAAUCAAGCAUCCCACCUAUUUCCUGGCCAGCGAGGAGCCAGUGUUUCCCACAGCAGAGGCGUGUGACUCGUCCUUGUUGUCCCUUUCGGACAACACAACCUCACAGUCUACAGUACCA